UUAAUAAUGUGAAAAUAAUUAUCAUGAACUCAUAAAUUUCAUGUUACAGGAAGCUACCACACAGACAGUUAGGCAACCAGGAACUAGUCGCACUGUUAGACUGCAGGUUGAUAUGAGGUCGAAAGGUCCAACGAAAAAAACAAAAGGGUCACAGACAAUGCCUGAAGUUGUGGAAAUCAGCACUCAAACUGAUGAAGAUUUUUGCCCAUUGUGUGACCACAAGCAGCUAUCUAUACAAGUUGAACCAAUCAUUCCUUCAUCACCAGACCUUCCAUCCAGUCAGCCGGAUCCCGUAUCAGCUGAUGAUAGUGACUAUCUUCCAAGUUCUUCACAGACCCCAUCCUCCUCUGACUCUGAAAGAAGGUCCACACCCCCACCCACUGAGCGUUUUUUCUUAGUUGCCUGGUCUGCUCUGAGCAUGCUGCUCAAUUUGAGGUGUUGUGCUUUUUGUCAAGAAAUGGACAUGGACAUGUCAACCACAACCCAGGGUACAAUGCUGUGUGUCCUCUGGACAUGCAAGAGUUGUAAAAAAGUUACAAAAUGGAAGAGUCAGCCUUUUGUUGGAGACAUACCUUUAGGCAAUAUUUUGCUAUCUGUAGCAAUAUUGUCUACUGGUGCAUUAGCCACUAAAGUACUACGCAUGUUCCAAAACAUGAAAGUGGCAUGCAUAUCCAAAAGAACAUUCUUUAGGCAUCAAAAAGACUAUCUGCUUCCCAGUAUCACACACUUGUGGGCUGAGCAGCAAGCCUGGCUCAUUGCAUGUCUUCAAGCAGAACAAAGAGGCAUCGUGUUGGCUGGAGAUGGUCGCUCAGACAGCCCUGGUCAUUCCGCAAAAUAUGGGACGUACACCAUGUUAGAAUUACCAGCAAAUGUUAUCAUAGACAUGCAACUGAGCAAUGAAGUUGGUGGUGCCUCGCAUAUGGAAAAGGAGGGCUUCAUAAGAUCAGUUAAUUUCUUGGGAACACAACAGGGUCUAGAUAUAGAUGUGAUAAUAACAGACAGGCAUGUCCAGUUACGGAAAUGGAUCAGAGAGAAUUUGCCAGAUGUUCAACACCUUUUGGACGUUUGGCAUGUUGCGAAGGGUCUCAGAAAAAAACUUGUGGCACUUUCCAAAGAAAAAGACUGCACAGACUUGAAAGAGUGGAUUGACAGCAUAAUCAAUCACCUUUAUUGGUCAGUCAUGUCAACAGAUUCAGCAGAGCCAAACCUAGUUGAAGCCAAGUGGACGUCUGUGCUGAAUCAUAUUGUAAAUAUUCAUACGCCCAACAAUGAGUUAUUCCCUAAAUGUGAGCAUAAAAGGCUGAGAGGAAGAGCAGCUAGAAAGAAGUGGUUGAAACCAUGUAAGUAUGUUUUGUAUAUUUUACACAGCCGUAUCUUUUUUUUUAUUGGAGUCAUCUGUAGAAGUAUAAGUAAGUUUGGAUGAUGUACAUCCAAUUUGCUUGCUUACAGGUUCUACCUUGAUGGUGAAAUUAGAAACACUGGCAACAACAACAUACCUCAUCAGAGAUCUAAAACAGGCAUCAAACCGGGAGCAGACAUCCUCUCUGGAGGCGUUCCACAGCCUCUUGAACCACUACGCUCCGAAAAUGUAUGCCUUUUCUUAUGAGGGCCAGCUUUGCAGAGGACUGUUAGCAGUGAUGCAUUUCAAUGAAAAUAGUGGGCGGACUCAACAAAGUACCAGAUCAGGUGAACUCCAGUAUGCAGUGUCCCUGCCAAAGUGGAAGAAAGGGGGACACACAGUGAGGAAAGUUUUAGAAGAACCUACAUUUGACUAUGUCAAUGAGAUCAUCAAGGAUGUCCUGGACAGACUCGUACACCCCAGAGAAGAUGUGGAUGUCAGAGAUGUGCCUCCUCCAUUGAGUGGUGAAUACCAAAGACCAA